UACGUAGGGUGCGAGCGUUAAUCGGAAUUACUGGGCGUAAAGCGUGCGCAGGCGGUUUUGUAAGCCGGAUGUGAAAUCCCCGGGCUCAACCUGGGAAUGGCAUUUGGGACUGCAAGGCUGGAGUUUGGCAGAGGAGACUGGAAUUCCUGGUGUAGCAGUGAAAUGCGUAGAUAUCAGGAGGAAUACCGAUGGCGAAGGCAGGUCUCUGGGCUAUAACUGACGCUCAUGCACGAAAGCGUGGGGAGCAAACAGG
rnacentral:rRNA from 1 species